CCUACGGGUGGCAGCAGUGAGGAAUAUUGGUCAAUGGACGCAAGUCUGAACCAGCCAUGCCGCGUGCAGGAAGACGGCCCUAUGAGUUGUAAACUGCUUUUUUACGGGGGUAAAUCCCGAUACGUAUAUCGGCAUGAAAGUAUCGUACGAAUAAGGAUCGGCUAACUCCGCUCCAGCAGCAGCGGUAAGAUGGAGGAUUCAAGGGUUACCCGGAUUUAUUGGGUUUAAAGGGUGCGUAGGCGGUUCGUUAAGUUAGAGGUGAAAUCCCGGGGCGCAACUCCGGCUCUGCCUUUGAUACUGGCGGGCUAGAGUUUAGUUGCGGUAGGCGGAAUGUAAGGUGUAGCGGUGAAAUGCGUAGAGAUC
rnacentral:rRNA from 1 species